UAGGACGAGAAGACCCUAUAGAAUUUUAUAUAUUAAAUAAAUUAUUAAAAUUUAUAUUAAAAUAUUUUAUUGGGAGGAUAUUUAAAUUAGAAAAACUUUAAUUAUAUAAUUACAUUGAUUAUUGAUUUAAAAUGAAUAAAUAUAAUUUUAUUAAGAAUUAAUUACCUUAGGGAUAACAGCAUAAUAUUUUUUUGUAGUCCUUAUAUAAAAUAAUGAUUAUGACCUCGAUGUUGGAUUAAGAGACUGAUGGACUGAUGUAGGACGAGAAGACCCUAUAGAA
rnacentral:rRNA from 2 species